rnacentral:rRNA from 1 species
AACGAACGCUGGCGGCAGGCUUAACACAUGCAAGUCGAGCGCCCCGCAAGGGGAGCGGCAGACGGGUGAGUAACGCGUGGGAAUCUACCCAGCUCUACGGAAUAACUCAGGGAAACUUGUGCUAAUACCGUAUACGUCCGAUAGGAGAAAAGAUUUAUCGGAGUUGGAUGAGCCCGCGUUGGAUUAGCUAGUUGGUGGGGUAAUGGCCUACCAAGGCGACGAUCCAUAGCUGGUCUGAGAGGAUGAUCAGCCACACUGGGACUGAGACACGGCCCAGACUCCUACGGGAGCAGCAGUGGGGGAAUAUUGGACAAUGGGCGAAAGCCUGAUCCAGCCAUGCCGCGUGAGUGAUGAAGGCCCUAGGGUUGUAAAGCUCUUUCAACGGUGAAGAUAAUGACGGUAACCGUAGAAGAAGCCCCGGCUAACUUCGUG